rnacentral:rRNA from 1 species
UACGAAGGGGGCUAGCGUUGCUCGGAAUUACUGGGCGUAAAGGGCGCGUAGGCGGCCCUCUAAGUCAGACGUGAAAUCCCUCGGCUCAACCGGGGAACUGCGUCUGAGACUGGAAGGCUUGAAUCCGGGAGAGGGAUGUGGAAUUCCAGGUGUAGCGGUGAAAUGCGUAGAGAUCGGGAGGAACACCGGUGGCGAAGGCGGCCUUCUGGACGGUGACUGACGCUGAGGCGCGAAAGCGUGGGGAGCAAACGGG